UACAGAGGGUGCAAGCGUUGUUCGGAAUUACUGGGCGUAAAGGGCUCGUAGGCGGCCAACUAAGUCGGAUGUGAAAUCCCCAGGCUCAACUUGGGAACUGCAUCCGAUACUGGAUGGCUUGAAUUCGGGAGAGGGAUGCAGAAUUCCAGGUGUAGCGGUGAAAUGCGUAGAUAUCUGGAGGAAUACCGGUGGCGAAGGCGGCAUCCUGGACCGACAUUGACGCUGAGGAGCGAAAGCUAGGGGAGCAAACGGG
rnacentral:rRNA from 1 species